AGCGAACAUUGGCGGUAGGCUUAACACAUGCAAGUCGAGCGAGGCGUAAUAGUCGAGCGGCGAACGGGUGAGUAAUACAUGGGAAUCUACCUCGAAGUGGGGGAUAACGUUCAGAAAUGGACGCUAAUACCGCAUAAUCCGGGAACGGGAAAGCGCGCUGCGCUUUGAGAUGAGCCCAUGGCUGAUUAGCUAGUUGGUGGGGUAAAGGCCUACCAAGGCGACGAUCAGUAGCUGGUCUGAGAGGAUGAUCAGCCACACUGGAACUGAGACACGGUCCAGACUCCUACGGGAGGCAGCAGUGGGGAAUCUUGCGCAAUGGGGGCAACCCUGACGCAGCCAUACCGCGUGUGCGAUGACGGUCUUCGGAUUGUAAAGCACUCUUAGUGGGGACGAUGAUGACGGUACCCACAGAAAAAGUCACGGCUAACUUCGUGCCAGCCGCCGCGGUAA
rnacentral:rRNA from 1 species